rnacentral:rRNA from 2 species
CAGCCAUGCCGCGUGUGUGAGAAGGCCUUCGGGUUGUAAAGCACUUUCAGCGGGGAGGAAGGGCUUUAUGUUAAUACCUUGGUGAAUUGACGUUACCAACAGAAUAAGCACCGGCUAACUUCGUGCCAGCAGCCGCGGUAAUACGAAGGGUGCAAGCGUUAAUCGGAAUUACUGGGCGUAAAGCGCGGCGGAUGGGUUUGUCAAGUUUGAUGUCAAAUCCCCGGGCUCAACCUGGGAACUGCAUCCGAAACUGGCAAGCUAGAGUCUGGUAGAGGGGGGUAGAAUUCCCGGUGUAGCGGUGAAAUGCGUAUAGAUCUGAAGGAAUACCGGUGGCGAAGGCGGCCCCCUGGACCAAAACUGACUCUCAGGUGCGAAAGCGUGGGGAGCAAACAGGAUUAGAUACCCUGGUAGUCCACGCCGUAAACGAUGUCGACUUGGAGGUGGGAUCCUUGAGAGACUGGCUGCCGGAGCUAACGCGCCCCAGUCUGACCGCCUGGGGAGUACGGCCGCAAGGUUAAAACUCAAAUGAAUUGACGGGGGCCCGCACAAACGGUGUGAGCAUGUGGUUUAAUUCGAAGCAACGCGAAAAACCUUACCUGGUGCUUGACAUGCAGAGAACUUUCCAGAGAUGG